rnacentral:rRNA from 1 species
UACGUAGGGGGCUAGCGUUGUCCGGAUUUAUUGGGCGUAAAGCGCGUGUAGGCGGCUCGGUAAGUCUGCUGUGAAAGCCCAGGGCUCAACCCUGGGAUGCCGGUGGAUACUGUCGAGCUCGAGUCCGGAAGAGGCGAGUGGAAUUCCUGGUGUAGCGGUGAAAUGCGCAGAUAUCAGGAGGAACACCAAUGGCGAAGGCAGCUCGCUGGGACGGUAUUGACGCUAAGGCGCGAAAGCGUGGGGAGCAAACAGG